rnacentral:lncRNA from 1 species
AUUUCCGUAUUUUUCGCGCUAAGGCACGGCGGACUUGUAGGCAAGCCCGACGAACAUCCUGGAAAAAAUUUGUCUCGGGGAUAACAUCUCGCACUCCGAUGACAAAAGUUUGGAAUAUGGUACAAAAAAUAAAAGGUAAAAAUUCUAAAGCCACUGUAAAACAUUUGAAAGACGGCAAUGAUUUAUUAACAUCUGAAAAGGAUAUUGCCAACAAGCUUGGUGAAACUUUUGCGAAAUCUUCUUCUUGUAACAACUACAGGGAAGAUUUUAAAAAAGUUAAUAAAACAAAAAGAGAAAAUUAAAUUAAACUUUAAAUCAAAAAAUGGUGAAAAUUAUAAUAAACUAUUUUCUCUUGAAGAACUUAAAACAUCUCUGUCAAAAGCCCAUGAUACAGCUUGUGGGCCUGAUAAUAUUCACUACCA